UAGGGAAUCUUCCACAAUGGACGCAAGUCUGAUGGAGCAACGCCGCGUGAGUGAAGAAGGUCUUCGGAUCGUAAAGCUCUGUUGUUGGUGAAGAAGGAUAGAGGCAGUAACUGGUCUUUAUUUGACGGUAAUCAACCAGAAAGUCACGGCUAACUACGUGCCAGCAGCCGCGGUAAUACGUAGGUGGCAAGCGUUGUCCGGAUUUAUUGGGCGUAAAGCGAGCGCAGGCGGAAUGAUAAGUCUGAUGUGAAAGCCCACGGCUCAACCGUGGAACUGCAUCGGAAACUGUCAUUCUUGAGUGCAGAAGAGGAGAGUGGAACUCCAUGUGUAGCGGUGGAAUGCGUAGAUAUAUGGAAGAACACCAGUGGCGAAGGCGGCUCUCUGGUCUGCAACUGACGCUGAGGCUCGAAAGCAUGGGUAGCGAACAGGAUUAGAUACCCUGGUAGUCCAUGCCGUAAACGAUGAGCGCUAGGUGUUGGGGACUUUCCGGUCCUCAGUGCCGCAGCAAACGCAUUAAG
rnacentral:rRNA from 1 species